rnacentral:lncRNA from 1 species
CUUGCUUCUUUAUUCUUUCCUAUACACUGAAAUCAUGCUGGUGGCUGGAUUUUGCUGCAUGCCUUCCUUUCUGCCUAGAUUGGAUCCACAGGCCUCGCAGUCUGAGUGCACUACAGCCAGGAGCCCUGAUCCUGAGCAGUUAAUGGGAUUCUGAUUAGGCUUGACUUUUCAAGCAACAAAACUUACAAACAAUGUUGGUAACUCCUCCAUGUACUACUGUCAGUGGUAAGUGGAAAUGUUAAAAGUGGAAGUUAUUGGUUAUUUUAUUUUUGUAUGAAUAAGGCAUCAACAAAUAAGGAAUAUUCUCCUUGCUUUGUAGAUGAAUUGUAUUGAAGAGGCAUAAAAAAACCCAGAACAACAACAACAAUCAAAAAACAUGCAAAACUGAAAUAGAAGGAAACAUCUUUCUAGAUUAUAAAUAUAAUUUCCACAUGAAUGUAAAGGGGACCAAAAAAAAAAAAAUAGUCUUCAAAAGAUGACAGCUGAUGGAGAGAUGCCCUUCAGAUAAAAAAAAAAUGAAAUCAUGGUUAAAAUUCCUUGUUAACUCCUGAGCAGCAAAUUGUUUGAGAUACCUGACAAUCAUUCUAGUCUCUUCAUAUUCUUCUGAAC